rnacentral:rRNA from 1 species
GACGAACGCUGGCGGCGUGCUUAACACAUGCAAGUCGAACGGAAAGGCCCUGCUUUUGUGGGGUGCUCGAGUGGCGAACGGGUGAGUAACACGUGAGUAACCUGCCCUCGACUUUGGGAUAACUUCAGGAAACUGGGGCUAAUACCGGAUAGGAGCUCCUGCUGCAUGGUGGGGGUUGGAAAGUUUCGGCGGUUGGGGAUGGACUCGCGGCUUAUCAGCUUGUUGGUGGGGUAGUGGCUUACCAAGGCUUUGACGGGUAGCCGGCCUGAGAGGGUGACCGGCGACAUUGGAACUGGGAUACGGCCCAGACUCGUACGGGAGGCAGCCGUGGGGAAUAUUGCACAAUGGGCGGAAGCCUGAUGCAGCAACGCCGCGUGCGGGAUGACGGCCUUCGGGUUGUAAACCGCUUUCGCCUGUGACGAAGCGUGAGUGACGGUAAUGGGUAAAGAAGCACCGGCUAACUACGUG